rnacentral:sRNA from 1 species
UCUUGAAGAAAUAACAAGCCUGUCUUGAGGGGGGUUGGGGUCUGCUAGGGCUCUGCCCAAUGUGGCCCCAGAUGGACUCCCAGCCCCUGGUACAGCCCAGCCUGGACUUGGUCAGGCUGAGUGUGCGAUGGACCCUAUUACAGAAACCAGCCCUGAGCAAAGAGGUUCUGAGGUCCAUACCAAGAAGACGGUGAUGAUCAAGACCAUCGAGACACGGGAUGGGGAGGUCGUCAGUGAGGCCACACAGCAGCAGCAUGAAGUUCUCUAAAGACAGAGACCCUCUGCCACCAGAGACCGUCCUCACCCCUGUCCUCACUGCUCCCUGAAGCCAGCCUUCUUCCAUCCCAGGACACCACACCCAGCCUCAGUCCUCCCCUCACAGCCUCUGACCCCUCCUCACUGGCCAUCCCUCGUGGUCCCCAACAGCGACGUAGCCCAUCCCUGCCUGGUCACAGGGCAUGC